rnacentral:rRNA from 1 species
UGAGAGAGUGAACGGCCACAUUGGGACUGAGACACGGCCCAAACUCCUACGGGAGGCAGCAGUGGGGAAUAUUGCACAUUGGGGGAAACCCUGAUGCAGCGACGCCGCGUGAAGGAAGAAGUAUUUCGGUAUGUAAACUUCUAUCAGCAGGGAAGAUUAUGACGUACCUGACUAAGAAGCUCCGGCUAAAUACGUGCCAGCAGC